GAAUCAGGUAGGACUACCCGCUGAACUUAA
rnacentral:rRNA from 1 species